UUCCUGGUAGCUCAGUUGGUAAAGAAUCUACCUGCAAUGCAGGAGACACCAGUUCAAUUUCUGGGCCGGGAAG
rnacentral:tRNA from 1 species